GUGGUUUCCCGUUGGUUGCACCAGAACAAUAGUGCACUUCUGCAGCAGCGUUGAGAUCUCCGACUCCAGAGCAUGUUACUGGGAUUGAUCUUUUGGAACUGGAGUCGGCCGGAAAGAUACAUCGGACGGUGGGGGACUCAUAAAUUCCAGAUAGCAGUUGACUUUUGCUGAAGAGUGCACUGAGGGGAUAAAAAUUUGGUGUCAGACGUACCGGUAAGAAAAACUUUCUGAUAAGGCUAUGAAGAAGAUUAAGUGGGCGUUAGGACCUUAUCGUCAAUGGCAAAGUCAGCGCAACCAGCAGGCC